UGGGGAAUAUUGCACAAUGGGCGCAAGCCUGAUGCAGCCAUGCCGCGUGUAUGAAGAAGGCCUUCGGGUUGUAAAGUACUUUCAGCGGGGAGGAAGGGAGUAAAGUUAAUACCUUUGCUCAUUGACGUUACCCGCAGAAGAAGCACCGGCUAACUCCGUGCCAGCAGCCGCGGUAAUACGGAGGGUGCAAGCGUUAAUCGGAAUUACUGGGCGUAAAGCGCACGCAGGCGGUCUGUCAAGUCGGAUGUGAAAUCCCCGGGCUCAACCUGGGAACUGCAUUCGAAACUGGCAGGCUAGGGUCUUGUAGAGGGGGGUAGAAUUCCAGGUGUAGCGGUGAAAUGCGUAGCGAUCUGGAGGAAUACCGGUGGCGAAGGCGGCCCCCUGGACAAAGACUGACGCUCAGGUGCGAAAGCGUGGGGAGCAAACAGG
rnacentral:rRNA from 1 species